UACAGAGGUCUCAAGCGUUGUUCGGAUUCAUUGGGCGUAAAGGGUGCGUAGGCGGCGCGGUAAGUCGGGUGUGAAAUCUUGGAGCUUAACUCCGAAACUGCAUUCGAUACUGCCGUGCUUGAGGACUGGAGAGGAGACUGGAAUUUACGGUGUAGCGGUGAAAUGCGUAGAUAUCGUAAGGAAAACCAGUGGCGAAGGCGGGUCUCUGGACAGUUCCUGACGCUGAGGCACGAGGGCCAGGGGAGCAAACGGG
rnacentral:rRNA from 1 species